UCUGGGAGCAGAACCGCGCAGGACCACAGCAGAAACACAUUUUUUCCCCCCUUUCUUCUAGGGUCAAUUCCCAACCCUGCAAGGCCGUACAGUCGCUCCAAGGGGAGGGCAAAGAGGCCUUCCAGCCUUCAGCUCCCCAUGCCAGUCCCAGGACGGGAGCAGCACGCAGCUGAUCUCUUUGUAUUUCCGUAUCCCAUUCCUGAAGGGCACCUGCAUUGACCGGCAUGGCUCCCCACAGACAGACUGAAGUAAUCAGUCCUCUAGUUCUUAAACAGAGGGAACGUUUGCAAUUGAGAUGAUACCGGCUUGUGUGAGGCUGGAGUUGGUCGUGCCACUCUCAUUUCAGGCUAUCUGCAGAUGCAAGCAAGUGAUCCUGUCCAGCUAAAAGAGCCAGGGGAGGCUGAAGAGGUGCUGGCUGGUCUCAGAGAAUAAAGUUCCUCCUGCCACGAGCCACAUCAGCCCAAUACAGUGAUGCUUCCACUCCUCCAUCAGGCAGCUGAUUAACCCCCAGCACUGUCUGAACUGCGGGUCGCAGAGUAUUUUCAUCUCUACCUGGCACUACCUGCUACUCUCCUGCACUAAGCUGAUGAGUUUAUCCACUUAAAUUCAUCCCUGGACUCACCCUGGGGCAAGAGGAGCUUCAGCUGGCUGUGUACCCUGGAUCAGAGCUCCCAACCACCUGAGAAAUGCCCGUAAGAAUGCCAAGCAGGUGUUAAGAUGGGAGAAACAGAGGAGAACGUGGAAGAUUUUAGGGAAGUCACCGACAUUUAUGCUCAUAUUCUGAGUGUGAUAUGCUCCUGUUUGGCUCCCGUCUCCUGCACUUUGGUUGCUGUGGCUUCUCUCCCACUCCGUGACCCUGGGUUCUGCUGCUGCCUCCAUGUGGGCAUACUUAUUUUGGAAGAUUUAAAAUGAAGGUUUUAAGGAAUGCAUCUUACCCUAGCUGCUACCCCAAGAGAGGAGAGAUUUGGGGUAGACAGCAGAGAAGUGGUAGAGUUGCACUUUACUGGUGAUUCUGGAAGAGCAGCUCCCUCAGCCCUUGGACGUGGGUGGACUCUGCUGCCAUCUGGGACCCAGGGAAAAUAGAUCCACCCCAUUUUUGGUACGUUGCCCCAGUUCUCCCUGCCCAGUGCUGUCCCCAGUCCACUCCAGCGCACCCCAAACCUCCCUUUGCCACAGCAGCUCCCCCAAACACGUUCUCACCCAGCUCCUGCACCCCAUCGCGUCCCAGCCUGUCCUUCCUCUCUGUGCUGAGCCCCCUCCCCAGCUCUGCACAAGCACCGGCCCUCCCAGUCAUAACUCCCCCCCCAAAACACCCUGUGUCCCCAGAUCACCCUCCCAGCAUCUCCCUGUGUCCCACACCAGUUUCACAGGCACGUUCGGCCUCCCCCACCCCGUCAGCACCCCAGUCUCUUCUCACCAGUGCCACCACUCCCCCCUUCCCCACAUACACCAGUACAUCCACUGCCCUCCCAACAGUACCCCCAGUAGUGCCUCCCCACAUACACCAGUGCUCUCAGUACCUGUUCCUCCCAUACACUGGUGCUCCCAGUAUCCCUCCCACCCCCAGUACCCCCUCCCCACAUACACCAAUGCCCCCAGCACUCCCUACCUACACACACCAGUACCUCCACUACCCCCCACAAUGCCCCCAGCAACCCUUCCCCACAUAAACCAAUAGCCCCCAGUACCUCUCUCCUCACACCUGUGCCCCCAGUACCCAUUCCCCUGAUACACUGCUGCCCCCAGCACCCCCUCUGCCCUCACACCAGAGCCCCCAGUACCUGUUCCCCCCCACACACCAGAGCCCCCAGUACCCCCUGCCCCACUGCCCCCAGUGCCCCCAGUACCCCCUCCCCCCUGUCGUGUUUUAACCCCAGUCAGCAACUAAACACCACACAGCUCACUCCCCCCACCCCAGUGGGAUGGGGGAGAGAAUGGGAAGAGCAAAAGCAAGAAAACUCACGGGCUGAGAUAAGAACAGUUUAAUAACUAAAAUAAAACAGUAAUAGUAAUAAUGGUAAUUUUAAUAAUAAUGAUUAUUAUAAUAAUGAUAUAAUAAAAAAGAAAAUAACGAGAGAGAGAAAUGAAUUGUGGAAAAAAAAAGGGAAAAUAACCCCACAGUGAUGCAACCGCUCACCACCAACCAGUGCUGCCGGUCCCCGAGCUGCGAUCGCUGUGUGCCCAGGGCCAGCCCCCCCCCAGUUAACAUACUGGGCAUGACGUUACAUGAUAUGGAAUAUCCCUUUGGCCAGUUUGGGUCAGCUCUCUUGGCUGUGCCCCCUCCCCUCCCGGCUCCUUGUGCCCCCAGCAGAGCAUGGGGAGCUGGGAAAGCCCUUGACUCGUACAAGCACUGCCCAGCAACAACCAGAACAUCGGUGUGUUAUCAGCAUUGUUUUCAUACUGAGCCCAAGGCACAGCACUGGGGCAGCUGCUGGGAAGAAAAUUAACUCUAUCCCAGCUAAAACCAUGACAAGGCCUAUCAUAUAUUCCAAAAAAACCCCAAACUUCAAACUGCAGGCUCCUCAAAUUUCUUCUCCCCUACUGCACAGUUCCUUACGGGGCAGGCUCACGUGAGAGAGAACAUCAUCAGCCCCCACGGAUGCGGCUCCA